rnacentral:lncRNA from 1 species
AGGUUGUUGCUGUAGCCCGUGCUGUUUAUCAAGCAGUGCUCAGCUUGAAGAAUAUUCCUGUUUUGGAGACUGCCUAUAAGUUAAUAUUGGGAGAAAUGACUUGUGCCCUAAACAACCUCCUGCACAGUCUGCAACUUCCUGAGUCCUGUUCUGAAAUAAAACAUGAGGCUUUUAAGAAUCAUGUGUUCAAUGUAGACAAUGCAAAAUUUGUAGUUAAAUUUGACCUCAGUGCCCUGACUACAAUUGGAAAUGCCAAAAACUCACUAAUAGGGGUGAGCCUUUAAUUGUAAUGACUUUGUUUUAUCAACAGUUAAGCCUUUUCUCAUUACAUAUUUAUGUAUUUCACUGUUAUGUCAACAUGUCUGCAGAAUCACUGUAUGUAACAAACAGCCAUAUUUAAGACAUGCCUGGAUAAAUAAAAUUGGUAGGAAUGUUUUCUUGCCAUUAUAUUUAACUUUUCUUCUUUUUCCUUGACAAAUCUUGAUAAGUUUUUUUAUAUUAGUUUUAUUUUCUAGAAAAUGUCUUAUGAAUUUCUCCUAUUUGCUCUAGCAUGCUUACAGAAAAUGUCAGUGUUUCUUACAGCUCAAAUUUGUAUAGUUGUUUUAAAAUGCGGUCUCUUUCUUCUUCCCCUGGUACUUUUUUCUUUCUGUGUACUGAAGUUAGUUCUUAUACAUGGUCUUAUAUUUUGGCUGUCUCUUUUUCCCUAGGAACAUUCAUACAGGUUGAAUAUUCCUUAUCUGAAAUACUUGGGACUGGAAGUGUUUUCGAUUUUGGAUUUUGGAAUACUUUUUUUUUUUUUUUGGAGAUAGUGUUUUUACUCUUGUUGCCCAGGCUGGAGUGCAAUGGCGCGAUCUUGGCUCGCUGCAACCUCCGCCUCCCGGGUACAAGCGAUUCUCCUGUUUCAGCCUCCCAGGUAGCUCGGAUUACAGGCAUGCACCACCACCCCUGGCUAAUUUUUUUGUAUUUAGUAGAGAUGGGUUUUCACCAUGUUAGCCAGGCUGGUUGUGAACUCCUGACCUCAGGUGAUCCACCUGCCUUGGCCUCCCAAAAUGCUGGGAUUACAGGUGGGCACCACCAUGCCCAGCCGGAGUUUGGAAUAUUUUCAUAACACUUACUGGUGAGCAUCCCUAAUCUGAAAAUCCUAAAUCUAAAAUGCUCCAAAAUUUGAAACUUUUUGAGCACCAGUAUGAUGCCCCAAGUGGAAAAUCCCACACUCAACCUCAUGUGAUGAGUCCAAACUGUUGUAUGCCCAAAAUUAUUUAAAAUAUUGCAUAAAAUGACCUUCAGGCUAUGAAUAGAAGGUGUCUAUGAAACAUAAGUGAAUUUCGUCUUUAGACUUGGGUCCCAUCCCCCACAUAUCUCAUUUUAUAUAUAUGCAAGUAUUCUCAAAUCCAAACAUAUACAAAGUCUGAAACACUUCUGGUCCCAAGCAUUUUGAAUAAGGGAUACUGAACCUGUAGUCUUCCUUUUGGUGGUGGUGGGGGGACUUUUUUUUUUUUUUAUUUUAUUUUAUUUUUUUUUUGGGGAGACAGAGUCAUGCUGUUGUCAACUGGGCUGGAGUGCAGUGGUGCAAUCUCGGCUCACUGCCACCUCUGCCUCCCGGGUUCCAGCAAUUCUCCUGCCUCAGCCUCCCGAGUAGCUAAGAUUACAGACACUUGCCACUACGACGGGCUAAUUUUUGUAUUUUUAGUAGAGACUUGGUUUCACCAUGUUGGUCAGGCUGGUCUCAAACUCCUGACCUCAGGUGAUCCACCUGCCUCAGCCUCCCAAAGUGCUGGAAUUACAGGCAUGAGCCACCGCGCCCAGCCCGUGUGUUUUUUUUUUUUAAGUAAUUUGACGUGGCCCUGCUCUUGAUUUGUAUUUAUUGUUUAUGGUUUGUGUAUUUCUUCUUCCUAUUGGACCACACAGAGUUGAAAAACAUCAUUUUUAAUAGAAAAUAAUAGGUGUAGGCUGGGCACGGUUGCUGACACCUGUAAACCCAGCACUCUGGGAGGCCAAGUCAGGCUGAUCACCUGUGGUCAGGAGUUUGAGACCAGCCUGGCCAACAUGGUGAAAGCUCGCCUCUACUAAAAAUAGAAAAAUUAGCCAGGGGUGGUGGUGCACACCUGUAAUCCUAGCUACUUUGGAGGGUGAGGUAGGAGAAUUGCUUGAACCCAGGAAGUGGAGGUUGCAGUGAGCUGAGAUCACACCACCGCACUCCAGCCUGGGCUACAGAGCCAGACUCUGUCUCAAAAGAAAAAAAAAAAAGAAAGAAACAAAGAAAGAAAUGGAUGUAAUUAGGGAAUAAAGUUUUUAGGAGGAAGAAGGUAAAAUUUGAUGUUUGCGCUUCAAUGUGCUCCGUGUUGUUAGAUUGGAUUGCCUUGUAUAAUUCCAUAGCUGCUUCGCUUAUUACCAGUUACAGUUUAUGUUUGAAGUCACAAUAAACUCUUCUUCAAACAUGAAAGCUUGAUUUUUG